GAGAAGCUGUGGCUGCCCCUGGAUCCCUGGAAGUGUCCGGGGCCAGGCUGGACUUGGGGCAUCCUGGUCCUGGUGGGAGCCU